rnacentral:rRNA from 1 species
GAUGAACGCUGACAGAGUGCUUAACACAUGCAAGUCGAUGGGGAAGUGGUGCUUGCACCAUGGCAACCAUGGCGGACGGGUGAGUAACGCGUAAGGGACUUACCUGCAGGACUGGGAUAACAGGGGGAAACUCCUGACAAGACCGGAUAAUGUCAUGGAGCUGCAUGGCUUUAUGAUGAAAGGAGACGCCUGCGGAGAGCCUUGCGUCCUAUUAGCUAGUUGGUGAGGUAAUGGCUCACCAAGGCGAAGAUAGGUAGCCGGCCUGAGAGGGUGGACGGCCACAAGGGGACUGAGAUACGGCCCUUACUCCUACGGGAGGCAGCAGUGGGGAAUAUUGGACAAUGGGGGCAACCCUGAUCCAGCAAUUCUGUGUGCACGAAGAAGGUUUUCGGAUUGUAAAGUGCUUUCAGCAGGGAAGAAGUAAGUGACGGUACCUGCAGAAGAAGCGACGGCUAAAUACGUG